rnacentral:tRNA from 1 species
GCCGGAGUGGUGGAAUUGGUAGACGCAGAGGACUCAAAAUCCUCCGCCAGCGAUGGUGUGCGAGUUCAAGUCUCGCCUCCGGCACCA